rnacentral:rRNA from 2 species
AACGAAGCUUUCUUUCACCGAAUGCUUGCAUUCACCGAAAGAAGCUUAGUGGCGAACGGGUGAGUAACACGUAGGCAACCUGCCCAAAAGAGGGGGAUAACACUUGGAAACAGGUGCUAAUACCGCAUAACCAUGAACACCGCAUGAUGUUCAUGUAAAAGACGGCUUUUGCUGUCACUUUUGGAUGGGCCUGCGGCGUAUUAACUUGUUGGUGGGGUAACGGCCUACCAAGGUGAUGAUACGUAGCCGAACUGAGAGGUUGAUCGGCCACAUUGGGACUGAGACACGGCCCAAACUCCUACGGGAGGCAGCAGUAGGGAAUCUUCCACAAUGGACGAAAGUCUGAUGGAGCAACGCCGCGUGAAUGAAGAAGGCCUUCGGGUCGUAAAAUUCUGUUGUCAGAGAAGAACGUGCGUGAGA